rnacentral:rRNA from 1 species
UACAGAGGUCCCAAGCGUUGUUCGGAUUCACUGGGCGUAAAGGGUGCGUAGGUGGCGCGGUAAGUCGGGUGUGAAAUUUCGGAGCUUAACUCCGAAACUGCAUUCGAUACUGCCGUGCUUGAGGACUGGAGAGGAGACUGGAAUUUACGGUGUAGCAGUGAAAUGCGUAGAGAUCGUAAGGAAGACCAGUGGCGAAGGCGGGUCUCUGGACAGUUCCUGACACUGAGGCACGAAGGUCAGGGGAGCAAACGGG